rnacentral:tRNA from 1 species
UGUAGCUCAGCGGUACAGCAUCUGCCUGGAAAGCACAAGUCCCUGAGUUCAAUUCCCAGUA